GCGGGGAGGGGCGGAUGCAGCUAUUUCCCCUUCGGCUCUUGGAACGACCAAGAGCCUGUGAAGUGGAUGAGCAGGCAAGUUUGUGGAGGCUGUUUUCUGACCAUGAUGCUGUUUCUGCUCCUGGAGGUCUGCUUCACCAUUGCUCAUCAAGAGGAAUCCAGUCUCAUAUGCAUGGAUAUGCAAAAAGUCCUGACUUCUGUAGAAGCACAGCCUGUUUCAGGUGGCCUUCAGCUUCAGCCUCGAUUCCCAACAACAGCUGGACCAGCAGGACAGCAGCAGUAUGAAAACACAGGCAGCUAUACCAACACUCCCAUGCUGGGGAGCCACUCAGCUCAUUCUUGCACUGCAAAAUCCUUCUAAAAAUAUUUUGAAUGGCUCUGAAAUUAUUUCUCCCAGCAGUGGGACAAACUGAUGUGGAGCAGACCAGAGUGACACAUUAAAGCAAGAGCACAACAAGAUUCUGUUCACAGCUUACUUGGGGAAGGAGAGUACAGGACACAGAAUUAAUCCUCAUUCUGAUGUUUAAACAUUUUUUUAGCUCUUUCAAUUUAACCAUCCAAAAUAAACUCCCUGAAAUAUGAAGUAUUAAAUAACCCUCCUUCCCCUUCCCUUAUAUGCAGUGUCUUUACAGGACUUUAAGAGGGAAGCUUAACUUGCAUGGUUCCCUGCUGCUGCUGUUUUUGGGAAAAGCAAGAUAUGGAAUGGUGGGAAGAGGGAAUUAAGGGAAGAAGAACCGCAA